rnacentral:rRNA from 1 species
AUUGAACGCUGGCGGAAUGCUUUACACAUGCAAGUCGAACGGCAGCACGGACUCCGGUCUGGUGGCGAGUGGCGAACGGAUGAGUAAUGUAUCGGAACGUGCCCAGUCGUGGGGGAUAACGUAGUGAAAAUUACGCUAAUACCGCAUACGAUCUAUGGAUGAAAGCGGGGGAUCGAAAGUCCUUGCGCUAUUGGAGAGGCCGAUAUCAGAUUAGGUAGUUGGUGGGGUAAAGGCCCACCAAGCAAACGAUCUGUAGCUGGUCUGAGAGGACGACUAGACACGCUGGAACUGAGACACGGACCAGACUCCUACGGGAGGCAGCAGUGGGGAAUUUUGGACAAUGGACGAAAGCCUGAUCCAGCCAUUCCGCGUGCAGGAUGAAGGCCCUCGGGUUGUAAACUGCUUUUGUACAGAACGAAAAGGUUUCUACUAAUACUAGGAGCUCAUGACGGUACUGUAAGAAUAAGCGCCGGCUAACUACGUGCCAGCCGCCGCCGUAA